CGAGCGGGUCGAACGGCGGUCCAUCGACGUGCGUCCACGGGUAGCCGCCGCGCAGCCGCUGGCGCCGCACCUCCUCGAACAGACCUCCAACUUAUGGCGGCAACUUACAAGGAAGGCCACUGGCGCUGCCGCAGAUUGAGACUGCAGUAUUUCUGCCACCAACAGCCACCACAUGUUGAGAUCGAGUCAGUUCAACAUCAUAUGUAGGGAAAGUCAAGAACCAAUGGGCUUACAGUACACGAUCACUAAACUCCAUGUGAGAGUUAGUGGGUGUGGCAAGGCUGCAUCACGUGAAAUCGAUGCAUUUAUAUGGCCCAGCUGCAGUGUUGUAGCUGUUCAAGAUUCUGAAGUGAGCUUCGUGAUUAUCAUUGCGAAGAUGACUUCAUCUAACACGGCGAAGACGAAGUCUGGGAAAAUAGCAGUGCUGAAAGUUCAGUCAUUUGAAUGUGUACAUACUACAUAUUUACUUUGAAAGGUAGAAGGCAAUGUGGUAACUGCCAGAGCGGCAGAUGCACUGCAUGUCUCUGCAGUGACUGUGAAUAGAAUAAAAAAGAUUCAGCUGCGCUCCGUUCUGCCUUGACAUAUGAGGAAGAGAUUGUUGGCUUUGACGAAAAUGCAUACACCCGAUACAUAUGUAAUAGUGAAAGAAAGAUCAGGAUUAUCUGACACUUAGCAAGUUGAUAAUUUUAAUGUCGGAAAGUGAUCUGUUCAUAGGCAGAACGAGUCUUUCCACAUAUUUAAGGAAAUUUGAUUCAGACUGAAAAGGUUCUCAUGGAGAUGUUACCUUCAUGGGGCACUAGCAGUGAAUUCAGAAAAUGCAAUUGGGAUUGAUGAAACAUGGGUUGACAUAUGCCAUACAUGAUAGUUGCAAACAAUACAUGCUACUAAGCAGUGA